rnacentral:sRNA from 1 species
UUUUUUGAACCUAUUUAACGACAUGACUCAAAUGGCAAGUCAACAAACACUUUCUCAUUUAUUUCGAAAGUCAACAAAAACUUUACGAUUUAUUUGUCUUCCGUGAAGUUCAAGAUUAAAUCGUCCCAAAUUUAAAAGUUCGUGAUUUUUUUGAUAUUUUUCCCUUUUUUAUUUCGCUUAUGUCCUUAAAAACUCUUGGCAACAGGAAAAAAAAUUUGCGUUGUAAAAUUGGAUAUAUGAAAAAUCGACUAUUUU